AGAAAAUGAUAAGGGCAGCCAGAGAGAAAGGUUGGGUUACCCACAAAGGGAAGCCCAUAAGACUAACAGCAGAUCUCUGUGCAGAAACCCUGCAGGUCAGAAGAGACUGGGGACCAAUAUUCAACAUUCUUAAAGAAAAUAAUUUUUACCCAGAAUUUCAUAUCCAGCUA